GUGAGGAAUAUUGCGCAAUGGAGGCAACUCUGACGCAGCCAUGCCGCGUGCAGGAAGAAGGCGCUACGCGUUGUAAACUGCUUUUAACCGGGAAGAAACCCCAGGACGUGUCCUGGGUUGACGGUACCGGAGGAAUAAGCACCGGCUAACUUCGUGCCAGCAGCCGCGGUAAUACGAAGGGUGCAAGCGUUAUCCGGAUUCAUUUGGUUUAAAGGGUGCGUAGGCGGAGCGUUAAGUCAGUGGUGAAAUCCUGCAGCUUAACUGUAGACUUGCCAUUGAUACUGGCGCUCUUGAGUGCGCUUGAAGUGGGCGGAAUGUGCCGUGUAGCGGUGAAAUGCUUAGAUAUGGCACAGAACACCAAUUGCGAAGGCAGCUCACUAAGGCGAUACUGACGCUGAGGCACGAAAGCGUGGGGAUCGAACAGGAUUAGAUACCCUAGUAGUCC
rnacentral:rRNA from 1 species